GAAUUCGCCCUUAGAGUUUGAUCCUGGCUCAGGAUGAACGCUGGCGGCGUGCCUAACACAUGCAAGUCGAACGGAGUUCUUAAGGAAUGCGACUUCGGUCAAAUGACUUUUGAACUUAGUGGCGGACGGGUGAGUAACGCGUGAGCAACCUGCCUUUCAGAGGGGGAUAACAUUUGGAAACAGAUGCUAAUACCGCAUAAGAUUACAGUACCGCAUGAUACAGUGAUCAAAGGAGCAAUCCGCUGAAAGAUGGGCUCGCGUCCGAUUAGAUAGUUGGUGAGGUAACGGCUCACCAAGUCGACGAUCGGUAGCCGGACUGAGAGGUUGAACGGCCACAUUGGGACUGAGACACGGCCCAGACUCCUACGGGAGGCAGCAGUGGGGAAUAUUGCACAAUGGGCGAAAGCCUGAUGCAGCAACGCCGCGUGGAGGAAGAAGGUCUUCGGAUUGUAAACUCCUGUUGUUGAGGAAGAUAAUGACGGUACUCAACAAGGAAGUGACGGCUAACUACGUGCCAGCAGCCGCGGUAAAACGUAGGUCACAAGCGUUGUCCGGAAUUACUGGGUGUAAAGGGAGCGCAGGCGGGAAGACAAGUUGGAAGUGAAAUCUAUGGGCUCAACCCAUAAACUGCUUUCAAAACUGUUUUUCUUGAGUAGUGCAGAGGUAGGCGGAAUUCCCGGUGUAGCGGUGGAAUGCGUAGAUAUCGGGAGGAACACCAGUGGCGAAGGCGGCCUACUGGGCACCAACUGACGCUGAGGCUCGAAAGUGUGGGUAGCAAACAGGAUAAGAUACCCUGGUAGUCCACGCCGUAAACG
rnacentral:rRNA from 1 species